rnacentral:lncRNA from 1 species
CAAUCAGAUGGUCUGUGGAUAUCAGUCAAAUUAAGAAGUGGAAGACUGAUCUGAAAUCCAUUUAUUUGCUCAAAGUCUGUGCAGUGUGCCAAGUAUUGAACAGAAUCCUUCAGAAGUUUCAGAUCAACACCAGGCUAUUGCACAUCUCCUCAUCCUUGUUUGUAAGGCUGUGUUACAAAGAACAGUCUGAACUCUGUUCAAAAACCAGCAGAGUGUCUGGGACCAAGGAAUGAGUAGGCCCAGAAUAAAC